rnacentral:rRNA from 1 species
GACGAACGCUGGCGGCGUGCUUAACACAUGCAAGUCGAACGGAAAGGCCCUGCUUUUGUGGGGUGCUCGAGUGGCGAACGGGUGAGUAACACGUGAGUAACCUGCCCUUGACUUUGGGAUAACUUCAGGAAACUGGGGCUAAUACCGGAUAGGAGCUCCUGCUGCAUGGUGGGGGUUGGAAGGUUUCGGCGGUUGGGGAUGGACUCGCGGCUUAUCAGCUUGUUGGUGGGGUAGUGGCUUACCAAGGCUUUGACGGGUAGCCGGCCUGAGAGGGUGACCGGCCACAUUGGGACUGAGAUACGGCCCAGACUCCUACGGGAGGCAACAGUGGGGAAUAUUGCACAAUGGGCGGAAGCCUGAUGCAGCAACGCCGCGUGCGGGAUGACGGCCUUCGGGUUGUAACCGCUUUCGCCUGUGACGAAGCGUGAGUGACGGUAAUGGGUAAAGAAGCACCGGCUAACUACGUG